rnacentral:rRNA from 1 species
GAUCAUUACUGAAUAACUAAAUCUUUAGUUUUUCAUACCCCAUUGUUGACUUACCCAUGUUGCUUCCACGUGGACAGGCGUUCAUUCUGCCCUCUGGCUUGUUGUGCUUACCCCACACUUGACAGGGAGUUGCCCGUGGUAAGACCCCAAUAUUACACUUUUUAUAUAUACUAUAAUGUCUGAAUAAAUCAUUUCAAAUGAAAUAAAACUUUCAACAACGGAUCUCUAGGCUCUUGCAUCGAUGAAGAACGCAGUGAAAUGCGAUAAGUAAUGUGAAUUGCAGAAUCUCGUGAAUCAUCGAAUCUUUGAACGCACAUUGCGCCCUAUGGUAUUCCGUAGGGCAUGCCUGUCUGAGCGUCAGCUCCCCCCAACUCAAACUUUUGUUAGUUUGGAUUACUUUGAAGGUGUAGCUUGUCAAAGCUGCUCUUCAGAAAUUCAUAGGCAGUAUGGUUAUUCCUAGACCAGACGUAAUAAUAAUAAAACCGUCUUUUUGGGAAAGAAUUGUGCUUGCCUCAACCCACCCAUUAUCUUUUUACUUGGGUGACCUCAGAUCAGGUAGGGAUACCCGCUGAACUUAAGCAUAUCAAUAAGCGGAGGAAAAGAAACCAACAGGGAUUGCCUUAGUAACGGCGAGUGAAGCGGCAAAAGCUCAGAUUUGAAAUCUGGCGUCAUUUUGGCGUCCGAGUUGUAGUCUGUAGAGGAGCAUUCGAGUGUAGCGCUGGCUUAAGUUCCUUGGAACAGGGCGUCAUAGAGGGUGAGAACCCCGUUAACGGCCUUUGUCUUAUGCUCAUGUGAAUCUCCUUCAACGAGUCGAGUUGUUUGGGAAUGCAGCUCUAAAUGGGUGGUAAAUUCCAUCUAAAGCUAAAUACUGGCA